GUCCACCAUUAUGACAACUAUAUUUCAUUUACCUGAGAAGAGGGCCAAAUUUUAAACUUCCUGCCUACUAUUUUGAAGAACUAGAGGAUUCUAAGGCAGCCCAGCCAAAGAGUAGAUCUGAAAAGUGAGAAAAGGAAGAAAAUCCAAUAAUAAUUCAUCACAUAUUCUAAUACACUUCAGCCAAAGAUUAAAGGAACCAUGCCAGUUGCUGCGACUGCACACAGAGAACGAAGAAAUCCUCUACGAGCCCCAUGGGUUUACAGAAGUCUAUCAAUCACCCUGUCAGUCUUCCGAAUCAUUAUUCAAGUUGCUAUCCCCAAUUUUGUGGGAUAUAUCAGACCAGCUCCAGCUCCAUAGAUGGACAGUGUGUUUUCUUCCUAUUUUUAAAGACAGCAAAGUGGAAAACUGGUGAAUAUUAUAGGGACACACUGAAAAGUGCAUUGUUACUAUGGCAAUAAAAAAGAGAACAAA